GCUGAAACAACUGUCUUCAGCUGAAAGCUGUGCCUGGUGAGGGACUCAGCUGGAAUCCAUCGGCCACCAACUCUCCCAGCAGCUGGGGAAAUGAGUGCCUUGGUCUGAAAGGGGAUCUGGAUAGCAUACCACAGCAUGGCUACAAUGUGCUGGGCAUUGCUUUGGUGUUGAGAUACAGCAGUGAACGUAGCAGACAAAAUCCCAUGUUCUUUUCUACGAUUUAAAUGGUGUGCUCAAGGAAGGCAUCACUGUGCAGCUGGCGUUGAACAAAGACUUGGAGGAAGAGAGGAAACAAGCUAUGCAGAUAUUUGGGGCAAAUGUUUUCCAAGCAGCAGCAACAUCAAUGUAAAGAGAUACAGACUCUCUUACUGCCAAUUCACUUUAUUCCCGGGGCCUCGUCUCACCUGUCUCAAAAGUGAACUUCGUAUUUGGUUGUCGGGAUUCAGAAACACAUUCUGGAUAAGGAUGGAGCAUCACAGGACGGCUUGUGUCGGAGGAAGGUGGAGUAACUGAUACGUGGGUACAGAGCCUGUAACAAGGGCAUUUCUUCACAAGACCCUGAGCAGAAGCGUGGAAGGGACCUCAUACUGAGCUGAUCUGGAAUCAGAAGCUGUUAGCGGGGGUAACCACAGCUGCCCUUGAUUUCCGCAUCACAGGAUUGGAAUAAUAACGCCUGUCCUAUCCACAAGUGUGGGGAGGACCUCACUCUCCCCCCCACAGCAGACUCACAGGUGCAGUGCCUCUAGACUCCUCGAGUCACCUGAGUGCAAGGCCAUGGCUCAGCAGAGCCCCACAGGCAAGGGCAUUGACCUCCCCAUCAGAGACCUGGCCUUGGAGGUGACCAGGCGCAGAUUCACCCUGACCACGAGGUACCCAAGCUCUCCUCUGGCUCCCUGGCGGGGUUGGGAUGGAGCAUGAACACCGAUCCCCACCAAGCACCUGACACUGCAGCAGACACUGGUUUACAAAUGUAAAGGCAGAUUUUAUGGAUGAGAAAGCACUUUGUCACCCACUGUGGGAAACAGGCCCUUCUCAUGUGGUCCUUCAACAGGCAGUGAUGAGGGGGCUGCGAUGAGCUCAGUGGCUCCUACCUGGGGCUGGGGAUCACUUGAUAACUGGAUGGAAGUUCUGAUGUACCCUCCCAGCAUAGCAGUGCAUGACCUUGCAAGCUUUGGGGACAGCAUGGACUCCCUGAAGCUCGUCCUCAGCCCCAACUAGGCUGAGAGCUCCCCGCAGGCAGGCACUGUUUCUCUCCUUCUCCACUGCAUGCCUGGUGACCAGGACUGUUCCAGCAGGAUCUUAGGAAGAAGAGACCUUAGCAGCUUGUGUGGCCCGAGGAGAGGGUUUGCCUGUCACAGAGCAGGAAGCUGCCUGGGCUGCAUGUGGGACUUCCAAAACUCCCCCACUGCCUGACACCUUCCCCUGAUGGAAGGGUCAGCUGACAAAAUACAAGACGCCUAGUUAAAUCUGAAUUUUAGAAAAACAAAGUUUUUUUGGCCUGUGUGUCUGUGCAAUUUGUGAUAUACUUGUAGUAAAAAUUAGUUGUUUAUCUAAAAUUCAAAUUUAACAGGGCAUUCUGUAUUUUCAUUUGCUAAAUCUGGCGAGCCUACGAUGGCCACUGUGGGAUGCCUGUCCUCUCUCUGGUCUGAAAUCCCCACAUGCAGUUGGGUUCCCAAGACAUCCCAUAUAUAACGGUGUAUAAAGAAAACAGUAGGAUUCCAGUUUAUAUUAAAACUGACCUCUGUUGAAACUGAUGUCUGGCUAGAUGCACCUCUUCUGUUCUGUGUCAGGAGGUCCUGUGGAGACGGAGACCUUCCUGGUGGGAGGGCGGGCGCUACAGACCAGAGGAAGGGAGUGGGGCUUCGUCACUCGCUUGCAGCGAAUGCCAACACGUUGCAGUCUCCUCGUGUUGGUUAAGUGGAUUUACAAGUUAUGUUUUCUAAUCUUAACGAGUGUAACCCUCAAAAGAGACCAGUGGCCUAAAAAUUUCUGCCAGGAAACCUGGGUUGAAAUAAUUCUAAUAAUGCAAAUAUGAGUAAAUAACAAAUAGCGGCAGAGCUGACACUU
rnacentral:lncRNA from 1 species